UACGUAGGGGGCUAGCGUUGUCCGGAUUUAUUGGGCGUAAAGGGCGCGUAGGCGGCCGCCUAAGUCAGACGUGAAAUCCCUCGGCUCAACCGGGGAACUGCGUCUGAUACUGGCGGGCUUGAAUUCGGGAGAGGGAUGUGGAAUUCCAGGUGUAGCGGUGAAAUGCGUAGAUAUCUGGAGGAACACCGGUGGCGAAGGCGGCAUCCUGGACCGACAUUGACGCUGAGGCGCGAAAGCCAGGGGAGCAAACGGG
rnacentral:rRNA from 1 species